ensembl:lncRNA
AUUCCUGCCAUGGAGAACACCACCACAUUGUCCUGCAGAAACAUUUCUGAUGGUGAUGGUUACACUUACAAAGUGCCGUCUUAUAUACCAUCUGCUCUACUGCAGGACGAGGACUGUGAGCAAGAGUGGAUAAAUAAGGCAAGGGAGUUUUUGUCAGAUGGACAUCAUCAUGCAAAUAAAACUGAGCACCCACUGGUUCGUAAUGAAACCAUAAAAAACAUCAAAGUCUCCGAAUGCAUCGAGCUUCGCCAUUCUGUGACCUGUCAUGGAUCGAGUCAAAAGUUUAAACACACUUACCGAGUGAUCAAUGACACGAUCUCAAGCCAAGAUGUUCCUAAGCAGCAAACCGAUCGCACCACCACCAUCGUCUCUGUCGUCAUUCCGAUUGGACUCCUGCUGAUUGGACUCCUGAUUAGUGUCCUGAUAUGUCUCCACAAAAAACGAAGAUCAGACAUCCCACUGGAGGACAUUACAGCAAGAAACACGGAAGGUGAAGCUCAACUGAACACCUCAAAUACUGAAAACAUGGACCCUGGUGAUACGAGCGCUAACGGCGAUGUUCAAACUGAAGAAGCUCGACCACUCCAACCAUAUCCUUACAGUUGAUGUGUGCAGAGUCGUCGAGAGCGAGUGAGGAUUACGGUUCGGCUUCAGAACUUCUCUCCAGUCUGCUUCUGCCUUUUCUUCAGUCGCACUUUCCCUACACUUUUGCAUCUGGGACACUUUGAAAGUAAAAUUAAGUAGUUAAACUGAGACCGUGGUAUUAUAGGGCUCUACAUAAAAGUGCCAAAUUUUUAAUCAUGACAAAGCAGAUCAAAUUUUUAUACUUUAAUAGUGUUUUGGUGUAAAAAAUAUAUUUUCAUAUAUAUUACUUGCUAUAAAAAUAACAUUUAUAAGAACUAAUUUUUGCCAAAGAAAGGGAAGCUCAAACCAAAGAACCCCAAGAAAAAAAAAAAAACACUUUUCUGCACUUUAAAACACUGCACAUCCUUCUGCACUUUUGUUAUGCUCUACCCUUUUAACUGUGACGAUAGCUGGGGCUGGGCAGCUUCGAGUUGUCAACACUCACCUGAUUGCGCUCCUGGUUUUGACUGCUUCAUCCGAUCCGUGUUUUACUCUGCUAUUUCCGGUAUUGAACUGUGCCAGUUGUGACUAUGAACUUGAUCUUUGCCUUGAUUUUUGUUGGCUACGUAGCUACUGUGUGUGGGAGGCUGCACCAGAACAUCUCUACUACCCUACUACACAGUAGAUGAAAAGCAGUACACCAAAGGAGGAGCAUCUCAGAAUUCUCAGCAUUCAUACAACAGUAUUUAAGAAAUCCCCAGAUGACCUACUGCUUCCCCCGAGAUUCUGCAGUGUGGAAUAACUGGACACUGUGCUAUCCCAUAAUGCAACGUGGCAUGGAAGAGCUGUCAGAAUCAAACCUGGCGCAUCGGCUUUUUAAGCUGUAGGUCACAUGACUAUGCCAACCUGGUGGCUGUAGUGCUUAUAAGCCCUUUCCUUAACUUGCACUGUGGGGCCAAACCUUAGACUGGGUUGUCAUCAACACUACUCUACGUCAUUGAAUCAACGCUAUAGAGAGCACAGCUGGUGGCUUCAUCAGCAGCCCAGUGCUUGUUCCUUUUUAUUUUCUCAUUGUGAUUGACCUUUGCUAUCUCCUUUAUUUUUUAUGUCUGUAAUUUUUUUUGUGCAUGUGUAAAUUUGUUAGCAUUCUUUAUAUACUGUUACCAGGUGUAGGGUUCAGCUGCCAUUUCUUUCUGGGUUUUGUCUGUUUUAUUUUAUUUUUAUUUAUUUUAUAUUACCAAUAUUGCACAAGUAUGUGUGUAUGUAAUUCAUAAACCGAAGUAUUCUUAGUAGUCUUUUUUUCUUUUUCUUUAGCCAUCCAUCUUUUAUCCCAGUCAAACCUAUCCUGUUAUCUUCAACCCUAGACUGGGGUGCAUCACUGUCCUCCAUUCCAGAAAAUCUGAGACAGCAACAAAAGAGAGACAAUUUUUAGAAAGUAACAAGUCUGUUUUUACAGAAGGAAGGGAAUUGGUGGCGCAACCUAUCAUAACCCUGUAACAGGAAGUCUUAUUUCUGCCCCCAUAAUGGUGAAAUUUAACUUGGCUCAGGAGCAGAUCGAGUGGAAAGUAAAGUGCACAUGUCUCAGUGCUUCUGAUAUUUUAACAAAAAUAUAUUUGGACGCUCAAUUCGUUACCCCACUCUCACUAAUAAACUCUCUCUGUGUGUGUGUAUGUGUGAGAGCAAGAGAGAGAUUGAUAACACCUGUCUGUUCAGAUCUGUGACACAAGUUAGUAAGAAAAUAAAGUUGAUAAUAAGUAAGCAAGAGGGAGGUUUCAUAC